GGGGGUGAACGGUCUCGACUUCGUUGGUUGAGCUAGGGGAAGCGGGCAGAGGAAGCCGGAAUGAUCUCUUUAACCACAUCCGCGCAAACAAUCAAGCGCCAGUAAAACUGCCGCUGAUUACGCCCUCGCUGCAUAAGCGAGCCUCGUAAUCCGUUAGCCCAGGCUUGCUCUCGUCCUGGAAUCUAGCGUCGCUAGAGGGCUGACUAUCUCUGAGUGUUAUAGAUCAGAGGUGGGAACACUUUCUAUAACUGAGUCUGUCGAUUACUUGUGUGUAUGAGAAUCGGGACUGAGAAAGCGUCAAACACACUACGCCCGUAGAAGCCCUACUUCAGUUGCGAAGGACCCGGGUUCGAUUCCCGGCACCUCCACUC
rnacentral:tmRNA from 1 species